AACGAACGCUGGCGGCAUGCCUAACACAUGCAAGUCGAACGGGAUCCUAGCUUGCUAGGUGAGAGUGGCGGACGGGUGAGUAACACGUGGGAAUCUGCCUUUUGGUUCGGGAUAACCGCGGGAAACUGCGGCUAAUACCGAAUGCCCUCGAGAGAGGAAAGAUUUAUCGCCAGAAGAGGAGCCCGCGUCCGAUUAGGUAGUUGGUGGGGUAAAAGCCUACCAAGCCGACGAUCGGUAGCUGGUCUGAGAGGAUGAUCAGCCACACUGGACUGAGAUACGGCCCAGACU
rnacentral:rRNA from 1 species